rnacentral:tRNA from 1 species
UCCCUAGUGGCUCAGAGGUAAAGAAUCUGCCUGAAAUGCAGGAAACCCAGGUUCGAUCCCUGGGUUGGAAA